AUCUGGACCCCUUUCCUUUAACAGUCUCACCACUUACUAGAUGAGCCAUGUGAUGUCAGAAGUGUGAUGUGCCAUGCUCCACUACAGACAGGAAGUGGAAUAGCCAGGAACUUGAAUCCAAGCCUUCUUAUGCCAAAAUUCUCCUUUGAUACGUGAAGGCAGCCUCAUCACUCCAAAGGUGAGGACGUUAAAGUUCAAAGGGGGUUUCUGGAACUGAAAUAAUAACAUCAUGUCUUGUUAUUGGAACAAUAUAUCAAAAGACAAGCAAAUAUAAAGCUAAUUCUCUGUGGAAUGAUACUUUCAAGUUGGAAUUUAUGUUACAUUAACCUAUUGUUUGAGAGGUUAUAUAUGAUGAUAUUUUUGCCUUAAAUAUUAUUUGACUAGUGUGGGUUUACCAAGCUAACUAUGCCAAUAAAGAAAUUCUGGAAUAUACUUUCUGUUACAUACUUUGAAGGAUUUUUCUCAGUGAGAUAAACUAACAAGUCUAAUUACUUCCA
rnacentral:lncRNA from 10 species